GACGAACCGUGCAAACGUUGUUCGGAAUCACUGGGCUUAAAGGGCGCGUAGGCGGGCAAGCAAGUCGAAGGUGAAAUCCCACGGCUCAACCGUGGAAGUGCCCCCGAUACUGCUUGUCUUGAGGGAGAUAGGGGCGUGCGGAACUUCCGGUGGAGCGGUGAAAUGCGUAGAUAUCAAGAGGAACACCAGUGGCGAAGGCGAGUCCCUGGACAACACCUGACACUGAGGCACGAAAGCUAGGGGAGCAAACAGG
rnacentral:rRNA from 1 species